AUUGAACGCUGGCGGCAUGCCUUACACAUGCAAGUCGAACGGUAACAGGUCUUCGGAUGCUGACGAGUGGCGAACGGGUGAGUAAUACAUCGGAACGUGCCUAGUAGUGGGGGAUAACUACUCGAAAGAGUGGCUAAUACCGCAUGAGAUCUACGGAUGAAAGCAGGGGAUCGCAAGACCUUGUGCUACUAGAGCGGCCGAUGGCAGAUUAGGUAGUUGGUGGGAUAAAAGCUUACCAAGCCGACGAUCUGUAGCUGGUCUGAGAGGACGAUCAGCCACACUGGGACUGAGAAACGGCCCAGACUCCUACGGGAGGCAGCAGUGGGGAAUUUUGGACAAUGGGCGCAAGCCUGAUCCAGCAAUGCCGCGUGCAGGAUGAAGGCCUUCGGGUUGUAAACUGCUUUUGUACGGAACGAAAAGCCCUGGGUUAAUACCCUGGGGUCAUGGCGGUACCGUAAGAAUAAGCACCGGCUAACUACGUGCCAGCCGCCGCGGUAAAAC
rnacentral:rRNA from 1 species